rnacentral:rRNA from 1 species
AGAGUUUGAUCCUGGCUCAGGACGAACGCUGGCGGCGUGCUUAACACAUGCAAGUCGAACGAAAAGACGGAAAGAGCUUGCUCUUUUCAGAAUUGAGUGGCAAACGGGUGAGUAACACGUAAACAACCUGCCUUCAGGAUGGGGACAACAGACGGAAACGACUGCUAAUACCGAAUAAGUUCCAAGAGCCGCAUGGCCCAUGGAAGAAAAGGUGGCCUCUACCUGUAAGCUAUCGCCUGAAGAGGGGUUUGCGUCUGAUUAGCUGGUUGGAGGGGUAACGGCCCACCAAGGCGACGAUCAGUAGCCGGUCUGAGAGGAUGAACGGCCACACUGGAACUGAGACACGGUCCAGACUCCUACGGGAGGCAGCAGUGGGGAAUCUUCCGCAAUGGGCGAAAGCCUGACGGAGCAACGCCGCGUGAGUGAUGACGGCCUUCGGGUUGUAAAACUCUGUGAUCCGGGACGAAAAGGCAGAGUGCGAAGAACAAACUGCAUUGACGGUACCGGAAAAGCAAGCCACGGCUAACUACGUGCCAGCAGCCGCGGUAAUACGUAGGUGGCAAGCGUUGUCCGGAAUUAUUGGGCGUAAAGCGCGCGCAGGCGGCUUCCCAAGUCCCUCUUAAAAGUGCGGGGCUUAACCCCGUGAUGGGAAGGAAACUGGGAAGCUGGAGUAUCGGAGAGGAAAGUGGAAUUCCUAGUGUAGCGGUGAAAUGCGUAGAGAUUAGGAAGAACACCGGUGGCGAAGGCGACUUUCUGGACGAAAACUGACGCUGAGGCGCGAAAGCGUGGGGAGCAAACAGGAUUAGAUACCCUGGUAGUCCACGCCGUAAACGAUGAGUGCUAGGUGU